rnacentral:tRNA from 1 species
CGGGCUGUAGUAUACCGGUAGUACGCUUGAUUUGGGAUCAAGUAGACUGGGUUCGAUUCCCAGCAGCCCGACAA